rnacentral:lncRNA from 1 species
GGGAAGAGCAAGGGAGAGGAGGAAAAGAUAAAGAGAGAGGAGAGGCGGAAAAGAGAGAGAGCAAGGGGAGGAGGAGAGGAGAGAAGUGAGGAGGGGACGGGAGAGCAGGAAAGCAGAGGAGAGGGGAGGGGAGAGAGGGAAGGAGAGGAGGCUGAAAUAUAAGAAACCUCACAGGUAAACAAUGUUGGAAAAAGUUGUUCAUCAGAAAAUUAAUGUGUCGUAUUGCUUGUCUCCACUACUCUUGUACACUCUCUUGCACCAAAGAAGAGAUGCCUGGGAACUACAUUUUCCAUUGUCCCUUGGUAAAAGUUUCAGGUUAGAUUGAGAAACGUUGGGCACAAUUUGGAAGACAGAAGAGAAGACAUGAUUUUUCCACUGCACUUGUGAGAAGACACAUAGGCACUAAGCAAGGCAAUGGGGUACCAUUAGCUCACAGUAGACAAAGGAAGUAGAAGUUUCUAACAUUAGUGCCUUUUCUUUGGAAUGUAAACUAACCAUCUCCUCUGAGAAGGUAAGAGGGUCUAUAUAGUUUCACUGCAAUGGAUUAUAAUAACCAUUUCCUGGGACAUAAAUCUAUAAAUCAUUACGAAGUAAUACACAAUCUCUAGCUUACAGGGCACAUACAAUCAAUUAUUUUUUCUUUAUUUUGAAUUGACAAGUAUAAACUCUCUAUGUUUAUGGUGUACAUGAUGUUUUGAUAUACGCAUACCUUGUGAAAUGGCUAAAUUAAACUAUUUAACACAUCCAAUAUAUGCAUUACCUCACAUAAUUUUUUCUGGUGAGAACACUUGAAAUACACCCUUUUAGAAAUAUAUCUAUAAGAUAUUGUUAUUAACUGUAGUCAGCAUGAGGUCAAUAGAUUUCUUGAACUUGUUCGUCCUAACUGAAUUUUUUGUGUUCUUGCCCAGUGCUCUUUGACAGAAAUCCCAGAUCAUGAACAUACAUGAAAAUAUUCAUGGAGAAUUGUCUCCUACCAAAUUUUAUGGAAAACUCAUAUUUCAAAAAAAGACACGUCUAAGAAUGAGGUAUCAUAUUCUGCUAGAGAUGCAUCUGAUAUAUUUUUGUGAAGUGUGGAAGAUACAUCUUCUUCAGUUUGUGCCAUGACACUCUUACUGUCAUGUAAUAAACACACAUACAUUAUUAUUUAAUUUCUUUUCUGACUUCCUAGUGUUAAAAAAAUGUAAACUGAGUCAAGAGAAAUGUCUGCCCUCAUAUAAUGAUGACACAAUGCCAG